rnacentral:sRNA from 1 species
AGUAGGAAGAAGUGAUAUCCUCCCCAGACCAUCUGCUUUGGGGAGCUUGGCAAAACUGUCCAGCAAAAUGAAAAGACUCACGUGCUUUUUCAUCUGCUUCUUUCUUUCUGAAGUAUCAGGCUUCGAAAUCCCCAUAAAUGGACUUUCUGAAUUUGUAGACUAUGAAGAUCUUGUGGAACUGGCCCCAGGCAAAUUUCAAUUGGUGGCAGAGAACCGGAGAUAUCAGAGAAGCCUUCCAGGAGAAUCGGAAGAAAUGACGGACUGUGGACGGCAAGACAUUUAGGAGCUCUAUUAAGGAGAAAACUGUGGGCCGAGCUCUCUACGCACAGGCCAGAGCAAAAGGCAAGACGGCUGGCUUGGUGAGGAGCAGGGGUCUUGAUAUGGAAAACUUCAGAACGGAAGUAAAUGUCCUCCCAGGAGCAAAGGCGCAGUUCGAACUUCACUACCAGGAGGUGAAGUGGAGGAAGCUGGGCUCCUAUGAGCACAGGAUCUAUCUGCAACCUGGACGGCUGGCCAAACACUUAGAGGUAGAUGUGUGGGUUAUCGAACCUCAGGGACUGAGAUUUCUUCAUG